rnacentral:rRNA from 1 species
UACGGAGGGUGCAAGCGUUAAUCGGAAUUACUGGGCGUAAAGCGCACGUAGGCGGAUCGAUCAGUCAGGGGUGAAAUCCCAGAGCUCAACUCUGGAACUGCCUUUGAUACUGUCGAUCUGGAGUAUGGAAGAGGUGAGUGGAAUUCCGAGUGUAGAGGUGAAAUUCGUAGAUAUUCGGAGGAACACCAGUGGCGAAGGCGGCUCACUGGUCCAUUACUGACGCUGAGGUGCGAAAGCGUGGGGAGCAAACAGG